GAUGAAGAACGUAGCGAAAUGCGAUAAGUAAUGUGAAUUGCAGAAUUUAGUGAAUCAUCGAAUCUUUGAACGCACAUUGCGCCCCUUGGUAUCCCGAGGGGCAUGCCUGUUCGAGCGUCAUUUCACCACUCAAGCCUGGCUUGGUGUUGGGCGACGUCCCCUUUGGGGACGCGCCUCGAAACGCUCGGCGGCGUGGCACCGGCUUUAAGCGUAGCAGAAUCUUUCGCUUUGGAAGUCGGGGCCCCGUCUGCCGGAAGACCUACUCGCAAGGUUGACCUCGGAUCAGGCAGGGAUACCCGCUGAACUUAAGCAUAUCAAUAAGCGGAGGA
rnacentral:misc_RNA from 1 species